AACCAUAGAAACCUGCGGAGUACCUGCGGAAGGAUCAUUACAGAGUUAUUCCAAACUCCCAACCCUUUGUGAACCAUAUCGUCGUUGCCUCGGCGUGAGCGGCAGCUACCCUGGAGUAGUUACCCUGUAGUAGCUGGGAGCACCUACCCUGUACUUGGGAGCACCUACCCUGUAGGAGCUACCCUGUAGUUGGGAAGAGCUACCCUGUAGCUAGAGGGCAUCUACCCUGGAGCUGCAAAC
rnacentral:misc_RNA from 1 species